GCAGUGCCAUGUCCACGCCCAGGAUUCGAACCAACGAAACACUGGGCCGCCUGCAGCAGAGUGUGCGACUUAACCACUCCGCCAUGGGGCCAGCCCCAUGGGAGCUUACACUUUUGAGGCAAUGACACCCAAUAAACAGAGAAACAAAGGGCCGUGAAGGGCACUGGGAAGUCCGGAAAGUGCCACGAAGAAACGGGAAGCAGCUGCCCGAAUGGACUAAGACAGGCGGAGUUCUGGCCAAUGGAGGGUGAGUGAAAGUGAUGUAGUGUCUACCACAAAAACCUGUAACACCUCCCUCACGAGUCUCCAUGUUCUCACGCCGUCAGGCUGCUGGCUGGAUGCAGAUGCCCCAGGCCAUUGUGGAAGCCAGUUACAGAUGGCAGGGGCUCAUCCCUUGAGGACUUUGUGGAACACCAGUUGGAUUUUAUAUGAAGAAAGACACUAUUACAUUAAGCCACUGAAACCUUGGGUUUGCAUAUCAGAGCAGCUGGUGUCACCUUCACUAAAGUGGAAUAGAAGCUGUGGGAGCAGAGGGACCAGAGCUGGGAGAGGGGUGGCGUGAGGCGGAAAGAGACCCAGGUGGGACCCGGGGAACACCAACGCUUAAAAGGUGGGUGAAGGGGAGUUGGCAGCAAAGGGGGCUGAGAAGGAGUUAGGAGGAGAGUGAGGGUAGAGGGGUGGGUAGAGAAGGAAUGCUAGGACCCUAUUUCACAAACGACCCUGGGUCAGGCAGGAGGUACAAGGAUGCACCCGAGUGAGUCCCUCUUCUCCAAGGGCAUGGAAGACGGGCCACCACAGUACCACACGGUAAUGCAACUCAGAGCAAGACGUAAGGUGAGUGGAAACCCAGGAAAGAUGCUCAGCCCAAAGCGGGCAGUGUGCCCGGCGCUCUGAGCAAGGGGAUUGACCCAGAGGUCUUGAAUUCUGGUGUAAUGGACCCCUCAGAAUCAGACAAAAGCUAAGGACGCUCUCCUCAGAGCAAUGCAUGCAUUCCGAAGUACGAAGAGUCAGGACUCCAAUGUAUCUUUUUGGGGAACACAGUUCACCCCAUACAUGCUGUGAGCGAAUUUGCUUUUCCCUAACAACACCCACCCUGAACACCCUCUGGACUGUGGCGUCCUCCCCAGAGCCCCCGGCAACUGCAGACCUGGCCAAGCAGGGAACUGUGGGUGCUUUCACAGCCCAGGACUGGGCAUGACUCCCCUCCAGGACGAUGUUGUGAGUGAGAAUGUGCUGGUAAUGUACAGCAUGCAGCUUAGAGUGCUGUGCUUGCUGCUCACCAGCCUGUAAUUUCCCCCAACCUCAGCAAGGAUGUCUUGGUGGCAGGGGCUGCUGAAUUCCAUCCCAGGAACGUGCGGAAGGAGGUGGCUCUGGUGCUCUGCUUUUGAGAGAAGAAGGAGGUCUCAGAAGCCAUGUGUUGAAGAUGACAGAGUCUGCAUUUGAAGAACUGUGUGGCCAAGAGCUCCACCCCCACCUGCCAGAACUGGACCUGCCGGGGACUGUCAAUAUGAGUGAGAAAUAAACUCAACUGUGUUUAUGCCAUUAUUAUUCUUGGACUUGUUGCAGCAUUAACUUACCCUGAUAAUACAGAGAACCACAAAGCUUGCAGGCCACAGGAUCUCUCAGCUGCCGUCUCCAGUUAGUCUGACACCUGUUCAGCAGUUUCAGCUCCCGGCCUGUAUCAGACGUGGAACCUGAACUUCUUGGAGAACAGUGCCCAUUUCGCUAGGCACAAACCAAGUCACUUUCCUCAGAUGACCAGGCUGUGGUGGCCUGAUGUCCCAUCUUGGGGAGCUAGGUCCCUGUAAAGUGCUUUGUCCACCCUUGAAGCUGGCCUACUUGCUCCUACCUGGGAUGUUGACCUCAGCUAGGACCACCUUUCUCCAAAGAGGUGGUACCCCUGUGUUUGAAGCCUGUUGUGAUCUUACGUCCCUGCCAAUGCACAAAAGACACCACCCUAGGCGAGGCUGGCUCAGAGAACACCAAGGAGGGCAGACAGGAAUGGGUUUCUCAGCUGCUGGCGGCCUGUGGCUGCCACUUAAGGCUGGACAUCCCUCCUUCUUGAGGAGGCUGGCUGCUGCGGUGGCAGGGGCUCGAAAAUGAUUAUGAAGGCUCUCUCGUCUCUGGGGAAGCCUAGAAAUGUUGGGUAUCUUUGACACAAGGGCCACUCAAAUCAGUUAAAACAAAACAAGGGGGCUCUAUUGGAAAGACACUGAGGAAAGCCCCAGAGAGUGGCAGCAACGGGGGUGUCUCUGAAGACCUCGGAAGCUGGAGUCAGGGAGGCGACGCCCCCGCUUCCAUGCCUUCAGCAGCUCCAGGCUGUGUCCUCCAGCCCCAUCACCUAGAGGUGACAGCCUUGGCAGAGAAGCCUCAGGGAGGUUCUGAUGGGUCUGGCUUGGCAAUCACCAGAGCCAGGAGAAGGGCUGUAGCCUGGGGCAGAGUCUGAGUGGAAGAAAUAAAGCUUUGCUUUCAUUAAAAUUCAGAAACAGCCAGAAGCACCUUUAUUCUAAAACGGUAUCUGCAGAGAAGAAUAGCAGCCUGAAUUACUUCUCUGCUGGGUCUUUCUUAGUAUGUGAAACAAAGGAAUCUGGGUUAGAUGGAAAAAACAAAGAAGGGCAGGAAUCUAGCGAGUUUGCUGAGCUUGUUUACGCCUGAAGUGAUCGGCGAUAGACGUAAUUCCUGAACCAUCAUUGCAUCCUGUACCACCCGUGUUUUAUGAUUUCACUCAGUUGUCUAAGAUGUGUUUUACAAGCUUAAUAUUUAUAAUGCUGGUGAUGGUGAUGAUAAUGACAAAAUAUAUUUUAUUGCUUCUAAGUUCCAGGCACAGUUCUUAAGUGAUUGAUAAUUCUUAAAUCCUCAAAAUAUUCCUAUGGAGUAAGUAUUAUCAUCCCAUUUUACAGAUGAGGAAACUGAGGCACAGAGAUAUUAAGGCUUAUCUUUUACAUGGGAAAGACAGACUGUUUGGAAAAAAAUGACAAGAAAAUUUCAUCUUUUUAUAUGGAGUGGCUGGACGACACUCAGAGAAAAUCUCUAAUGACAAAGGCCAGAGAAGAAUCUAAUUUAAUUGUACUUGGGACGUUUGCCUGAUGAGUCAGAUAAUCAGGGCUCUGUGGAGUCCAUGAGUUCAUUAAUAUUCUUCAGCUUUUCUCAUUAGCGUGAAGUAACCACACUAUUUUAAUAACCACAAUACUUCUUUUUUGGGGCCAAGGAAAUUGUUCCGUUUUAAAGAAGACUGAACAAAAGAGAUUUCUAUAAUUGUCAUUCUGCAUUUCUUACCUCCAAAGGGAAGACGUGUACUUUCUGAUUUCACAAUUUGUUACGAGGAGGUGGUGGAGAAGGUAGCAGAUCAGAUGUAGAUGGUGGCACCUGGUGGGGAAUCCACCUUGGAAGUGUCAGAGCCCAGUUCCACGCCGGAGGAGCCCUGGUUAGACAUGCCAGGGCCCGGGAGGUCUGCACUGGGAAACACAGGCCUUGGCAUAGGCUGGCUCAGAGGCCGUGCUGCCCGGCCAGUGACUCCUUCAAGGUGACAUUGGGCAGUACACAAAGAUGUCCUCCAGGUGGAUGGUGACCCCUUGCAGGAUCCCAUUUGUCACCCAUUAAAUGACAUGGGGGAUGGUGGGGGCAUCCCAUAGCUGAGGGUUGAUGACCAGGUAGCAAGCUAUCCAAAAAGUAACUGGGAAACUUUCUUGCAUUCUUGACCUCCGGGCUGUGCAUGCCCCUGAGGCCCUGUUUUAUGAAGAUCAUCCUGACAGUUCAAAGUUCAAUGAAAACACCUAGGAUCCCACAGAGUCACUCCAUCGAGGCGGUGGUAGUCUGGGCGGAGGUGGAGCUCCCCGUUUUCUCCACUUCAGAGAACACCAGGCCUUGUGGUGGCAGAGGGCUGAUGAUGCCACAGUCAGGAUUCUUUGGGUUGAAAUCCAAUAUGACAUAGUUUAGGCAGAAAGAGGAAUUUACUGGAAUCAACCAACAAACUGUAGGAAAUCCCACACAGCGGCUUCCAGGACCCGCAGCCCAGUGGGACUCUCUUCUCUCAGCUCUACUUCUCUCUCCCCCUGUGGUUUGUUCUCUCCCCCUGCAGACUUGGCUCCUCCACUCAUGGGAAACACCAAGAGUGGCGGCGCCCUGUAACAGUUAGGACUCUAGGAUGGCAAGGCAGUCCCACUAGGACCACAGGGUUGGAGGAAGGGAAGAGGCAGUCCCCGAGAGAAGGCAGACCAACAGGUGGUUGUGCCGUUCACCAAGGAACCUGGUUUGCCAGGGCCACAUUCUCUCUCCACGUCGGAUUAAGGUCAAGCCCUGUUCGAUUUGGCACAGAAGUUCCUGAACCGACAGGCAGCGCUGCUGCCCCAUUCAGGAGUGACAGAUGCAGGGUCUAGGGGGGCUCUGAGGUUCCAGUUGGGAACAGCCACAAGUAGAAAAUAACCUACAUGUCCACCAACUGAUGAGAGGAUAAACAAAAUGUCCUACAUAUGCACAACAGAAUACCGUCCAGGCAUAAACAGGAAUGAGGUACUGAUACGUGCUACAACAUGGAUGAACCUUGAAAACAUUGUGCUAUGAAAGAAGCCAGACACAAAAGGCCAACAUCGUAUGAUUCCUUUUAUAGGAAAUAUCCAGAGUAGGCCAAUGUGUAGAGAGAGACAGCAGACUAGUGGUUGCCAGGGCCUGGGGGAGGGAGGUGCGGGGAGUGGCUAGAACUAGGUAAUGAUGCUGGUUGCACAACAUUGUGAAUGUACUUGAUGCCACUGAUUUGUAAAUCUUUCAAUGGUUAAAAUGGUAAAAGUGAUGUUAUGUGUAUUUCAGCACGAUAAGAAUAGCAAGAAUAACAUAGGCUGACUUCAGACAAACAUGUCGGGGCUUGAAGCACCGAGACUCCAGUGAGGGGGCCUCCCACAGAGCUUUUGGAUGUCCCUCUAAGCAAGCUUGUCCACGCAGAAGCAGAGAGGCACUGGCUGGACAGGAGUGUUCUCUCACAGCCUUGAAUUGAUGCUCUGCCCCUGGAUCACAGCACCUGUGUGAGUUAAUAAUGUUUACUAAUCCUGUCGUUAUCUGUGCAUAGCACUGUUCUGGUGUAAAUAUUUUUAAAAGAUUUAAAUCUGUAGAUUACCAGUAUGUGGUGAGUUGAAUAACGGUUCCCAAAGAAAUCAGGCUCUAAUCCCUUGAAACCUGUAAAUGUUACCUUAUCUGGCCCCAAAUGUGAUUAAGCUAAGGAUUUUGAGAUGGGGGGAUUAUUCUGGAUUAUCUGGGUGGGCCCUAAAUGCCACCACAAGGACUCCUAUGAGAGGGAGGCAGCGGGGGACAUUACCGCAGAAGAGGAGAAGGCCACGCGGCCACAGAGGCGGAGACUGGCGUGAUGCAGCCAGGGAGCUAGAAGCUGACAUACGCCGGACAAGGCAGGAAGGGACUCGCCCCUGGAGCCUCACCCAGCGAAAACUGAUUUCAGACUUGCGGCCUCCAGAGUGAGAGAGAAUACAUUUCAGCUGUUUGAAGGCACCACACCUGCGGUGGCUUGUUACAGCAGCCACAGGAAACUAAAGCACAGUGACACACGGUUGUCAUUAAACUGUAAUCAGGAUAAUAUUGUCUUACCGAAAAUGCAAAAUUAAUGUGAUUUUGCUGCAAGGUUCUGACAUUUUGCAUCACUUGAAACUACAUCAAUCUUUUUAGUCUUUUGGGCAGAGAAAUAAAAUAUUUCAUCACUUGCAUGGGUACGCAUCAGAAGUACUAACUUAAUAAAAAGAACGUGUAGAAUAUGCCACAGUUUUAGAAAUCCUAUUUUGAUAUUUCUUGAUUUUUAAAAAAACUGACUGGGAGCCUCAGAGAAAGGAGGUGGCCUUGGCCUCUGAGAGGCCCUCGCUGGUCAGUACCAUGUGCUCCCACCCCCUGGGGAUCCAGUUGACACUGGUGCACUGAUGACCGUCGCUGGGUGUCCUGUGCACCAAGAGGGAUGAUCCCACAGGGCCUGGCCGGGUUCCCGUCUCACACGCCUGAGUCUCCAGCUGCCGAGAUUCCAUCUGUUGCCUGCGCGGCCAGGGCCCUGCAGAGCCACCAGGGGAUAUCCUGCACACGCAAGAGUGGGAACCUCUGCCUCAGGACUGGGAGGGAGAGGUGCCUAAACUUUGAGGACUCCAGCUGAUUCACACGCCCAGAGAGGCUUCCCGGCGAAUGACAGCCUGUGUAUCAGGCCAGGAGAGGGGCCCGGGCUGGGAUGGUGAGACUCGGCACCGCUCUUUCAGUUCACUGGAUCCCUUUUCUCAGCCAACCGACCCUGGCACGUUUCCCAAGGGAUGAAAACCCUGCGUGGGGGAGUGAGGUAAGUACAUCGGGGUCACACACUUCCGAGUUCGUGCCUCUCCAGGACCUCGAUGCUUCUGGAGCCAGAGCUGCAGUCUGAACUGGGGGAAUGAGGGAAGAUCAGAACUUCCAGAGACGUGAGGCCGAGGGUCAGUUUCCAGUAGAACAAAGCUGUUGAGGGAAAACGAAUAGGAAUUUAGAAACCGGGAAGGUGAGUCAAGGCUGGUGGUUCGGAAUGGAGACUGUGAAAAUGCCAGGCUGUCCAGAGGCCUGUUUGUAAGCCGUGCUCGCUGCGUGGUGCAGGAGCAGCUCUAGGGCAUUAAAAAGAAGGGUUCAGAAUGCCUCACUCAGCCGCCUAGUCCUCCAGGCUUGGUGGGGUGAGGUGGAGGAAUCUUCAUUUCUAACCAGCACUUCACAUGUUUCUAGUGUAUAUGCCUUAUGGGAGGACGUGUGUAUAUCUAUGUCUGUAUGUGCAUGUGUGUGUUUCAACACGGAUGUGUACCUAUAUUUGUGUGUGUUCGUAUACGUGUUAUCAGUGUGUAUAUGUAAACGUGUAUGUAUGUGUGUACUUGUGUGCAUGUAUCUAUGUGUCUUUAUACGUGUACAUGGGUUUGUGUUUAAGUGUGCAUGCGUGUGCACAUCUUUGUGUGGUGUGUUUUCCUAGGCAGACUCCAGGGGAGCUGGUGACUGGCCGGAAGGCGGAGAGAGGGAAGGGGGUGGUCAAGGAUAGCUGAUGAGCCUUGCCUGGGGACUCGGUGACUACGAUUCCAGGAGAGUGACUGGCCCACGUUGUAAAUGAUACUGCACAGCUGAGCACAUGUGCACACUAGUAGUUACACCAUUCCAAGUUACCAGGAGGGCAGUUUUGGUCCUAAGUCCAAACCCUGCCACAGAAAGAACCACCGUGGCCCGGCAAAGGAGCCCGAGGGGAGGCCCCCUCCAGUCGAAGCCUCUGGAGUUCUCUUCGUCCUCAGCAUCCUGCUCCUGGCUGGUCACACUGAGUGCAGAGCAGACAGCCUCCUGGGCUACGUUUCUUCCCAUCUAGACCCCAUCACCUGCAGAGCCCCUCACCGUACUUCUGAGGCUCUGGGCUGCUCUUGCUAACCCAUCUUAGCGAGUGUGGGGAAGAGUGUCUCUCCCACAGGCCCUGCUGUGGCUUCCGGCGACCCGCGGGGGCUCCUCUCUGCUUUGUCUCUGCACCACAUCCAGCCAUAGGAGGGCUGUGUGGACCACCCUGACUUAUGGCAGGAAGAGAACAACUUUCCAGUCCAGUGACAACUAGAAAGGUCUCCCCAUUGUGCAGGGAGCCAUCAACUCCACUUAAUUCCCCUCCCCUCCCCCCACCCACCAGUGGCCCAGGCUUAACCAUUUCAUAACCAGUGUAUACACCUGGUGACGCUGCUCUGUGGACCUUUGCCAUGGCUGCUUCCCCUCUGUUGGAGUCGAACAAGAGAGGGGCGGCAAAACCAGCCAGUGGUGGGGGCUUUAGCAGCAGGUCCUGCAAGGAUGCCUAGAGCCAACAGGGCCUCACAGGCCAGGGGUGGGCAGGGACAGAGCAAAGGAGAGCAGAAGCCGCAGCAGCACAGCGGGGAGUCCGUGAGGGGCUUGCCAUGCAAAUAAUAGAAACCCAGUUCAAGCAGCCGCUGCAUGCCCCAAGACACAGGCUGGUUGCUUGUCUCCUCUGUCCCCGCCCCCCGCCCCUGUCUGUCCUCCUGGCUGCUCCCCUGGGCUCUCAAGACGGGCUCCGUAGGGCCAGGCCUCAGACUCCGGCAAUGACACAACUUCUGUAGCUUUUGUCUCCUUUUAAAGAUGAAGAAAAUCCUUCUCCGGAGCCUCACAUUUCAUUGGCCAGAACUGCUUCACCUGCCCAUGCCUGACCAGUCAUUUGGCAGGGAAAACGAGCCAGCACGAUGGCUGUGGACCGAUUAGAAUUCACGCCCGUGGGCUUGGCGGUCCCGGUCUUCCCUGAGGAGCAGGGUGAACCAAGUUGGGGGCCAGUUCGUAGGAAGACAUGGGGGUGAGGGCGUUGGUCAGGCCACAGUGUCUGCCAGAGAGAGAACGAGGGGGCUAGGUGUUCAGGAACCACAUCGGAGUCCAAAAAAGGGCAGGCUUGAAGCUGAGCCAGAAUCCCUUGUUCCCUCCGCAUUGCUUUGACCCCAGCCGACUGCGGCCUAAGGUGACAUGGGCUGUUGGUAGUCCUGUCCUGGAUUAUUCCAAGGACAGUGGCCCACUUACGCUCUUGCUCACUGCCACCCUGGAAGUGGUUCUGAGUGAGCUUUGGGGAAGCAUGGCCACCACCGUCAUAAGGCAGGAGGCCCAAGGCCUGUGGACUCUGACGGAUGGCUGGGGUCUGGGGACGUCGAAGCAUGGUCGUGAGGGCGCUGGGAAGGAUGGAAGGGAGGCAGCCAAGGGAGGGGAGGCCCUCAGGGCUGUGGGUUCCAGUGAGUGUGGGGAGCAGAAGCAGGGUUUGAAGACCUGUGAGCAUCUCUGCCACCCAACUCAAAGGGGCCCCAGGGGCCUUUCCAGAGCAGGGAUCGGAGGGAGAGGACCAAGUCUCCUGGCGGGAAGAGAAGAAGGUGAGCACAGUCCGCUGAGUCCUUCUGCAGAUUUGAGGGACCUCAAGUUCUAAUGGGGACCUCCAGAGAUGACUGCUUGCAAAACACCUUGGAGCCGGGUACCUGAGUGUGGUUCACCCCCCGAGAUGUGCUCGUCCUAGACCCCAGAUCCUGUGGAUAUGUUACUCUACAGGGUAAAAAGGACUUUGCAGAUGAGACUAAGUUGGGAUCUUGAGAUGGGGAGGUUAUCCUGGUUCUCCAGGUGGACUCAGUGUAGUACAAGGAUCCUUCUAGGAGGGAGGCAGAAGGUCAUGGAGGAGAGAAGAUGCUACACCACUGGCUUUGAGGAUGGAGGAGGGGCCAUAAGUCAAGGAAUGUAGGCGGUUUCUAGAAGCUGGAAAAGGCUAGGCACAGAUUCUCACCAUAUUAGUUUCCUGUGAUUGCUGUAACACAUGACCUCAAAUUUGGUAGCUUAAAACCACAGAAAUUUAUUCU